rnacentral:rRNA from 1 species
GAUGAACGCUAGCUACAGGCUUAACACAUGCAAGUCGAGGGGAAACGGCAUUGAGUGCUUGCAUUCUUUGGACGUCGACCGGCGCACGGGUGAGUAACGCGUAUCCAACCUUCCCAUUACUGUGGGAUAACCUGCCGAAAGGCAGACUAAUACCGCAUAGUCUUCGAUGACGGCAUCAGAUUUGAAGUAAAGAUUUAUCGGUAAUGGAUGGGGAUGCGUCUGAUUAGCUUGUUGGCGGGGUAACGGCCCACCAAGGCUACGAUCAGUAGGGGUUCUGAGAGGAAGGUCCCCCACAUUGGAACUGAGACACGGUCCAAACUCCUACGGGAGGCAGCAGUGAGGAAUAUUGGUCAAUGGACGGAAGUCUGAACCAGCCAAGUAGCGUGCAGGAUGACGGCCCUAUGGGUUGUAAACUGCUUUUGUAUGGGGAUAAAGUUAGGGACGUGUCCCUAUUUGCAGGUACCAUACGAAUAAGGACCGGCUAAUUCCGUGCCAGCAGCCGCGGUAAUACGGAAGGUCCAGGCGUUAUCCGGAUUUAUUGGGUUUAAAGGGAGCGUAGGCUGGAGAUUAAGUGUGUUGUGAAAUGUAGACGCUCAACGUCUGAAUUGCAGCGCAUACUGGUUUCCUUGAGUACGCACAACGUUGGCGGAAUUCGUCGUGUAGCGGUGAAAUGCUUAGAUAUGACGAAGAACUCCGAUUGCGAAGGCAGCUGACGGGAGCGCAACUGACGCUUAAGCUCGAAGGUGCGGGUAUCAAACAGG